GAGUAAUUAGGACCUCCCUGAGCGGAGUAAUGCUCACCUGAAGGACGUCUGCGUUGUCUUACGGAGCG
rnacentral:miRNA from 1 species